rnacentral:rRNA from 1 species
AUUGAACGCUGGCGGCAGGCCUAACACAUGCAAGUCGAACGAGUGGCGGACGGGUGAGUAAUGUCUGGGAAACUGCCUGAUGGAGGGGGAUAACUACUGGAAUCGGUAGCUCAUACCGCAUACCCUCCGAUGUGCCCAGAUGGGAUUAGCUAGUUGGUGGGGUAACGGCUCACCAAGGCGACGAUCCCUAGCUGGUCUGAGAGGAUAACCUGCCAAACGUGAACUGAGAAAAGGUCCCGGAUCCUAUGGGAGGUGCCAGUGGGGAAUGGUGCACAAUGGGCGAAAGCCUGAUGCAGCGAUGCCGCGUGGAUGAACAAGUCCUUCAGGUUGUAAAACACUUUCAGCGUGGAGGCGUUAGACUCAGAAGAAGCCCCGGCUAACGCCGUGCCAGCAGCCGCGGUAAUUC